UACAGAGACUGCAAGCGUUAUUCGGAUUCACUGGGCGUAAAGGGUGCGCAGGCGGCCGUGUGUGUGAGGCGUGAAAGCCCGUGGCUUAACCCCGGAAUUGCACCUCAAACUACACGGCUAGAGCAUUGGAGAGGGUAGCAGAAUUCACGGUGUAGCAGUGAAAUGCGUAGAUAUCGUGAGGAAUACCAGAGGCGAAGGCGGCUACCUGGACAAUUGCUGACGCUCAGGCACGAAAGCGUGGGGAGCAAAAGGG
rnacentral:rRNA from 1 species